AUUGAACGCUGGCGGCAUGCCUUACACAUGCAAGUCGAACGGCAGCACGGGUGCUUGCACCUGGUGGCGAGUGGCGAACGGGUGAGUAAUACAUCGGAACGUACCUUAUCGUGGGGGAUAACGCAGCGAAAGUUGCGCUAAUACCGCAUACGCCCUGAGGGGGAAAGCGGGGGACCGUAAGGCCUCGCGCGAUUAGAGCGGCCGAUGUCUGAUUAGCUUGUUGGUGAGGUAAAAGCUCACCAAGGCGAUGAUCAGUAGCUGGUCGGAGAGGCCGAUCAGCAACACUGGGACUGGGACACGGCCCAGACUCCUACGGGAGGCAGCAGUGGGGAAUUUUGGACAAUGGGGGCAACCCUGAUCCAGCAAUGCCGCGUGAGUGAAGAAGGCCUUCGGGUUGUAAAGCUCUUUUGUCAGGGAAGAAACAGCAGCUCUAACACAGUCUGCGAAUGACGGUACCUGAAGAAUAAGCACCGGCUAACUACGUGCCAGCCGCCGCAGUAA
rnacentral:rRNA from 1 species